CUAUGGACUUAAUUGGAUUGAGCAUUGGUAUGGAAACUUACUAAGUGAUCACUUUCAAAUUUAGAGAAACCCUGGAAUGAACAAAAAUGGGAAAUCCUGAGCCAAAUCCUAUUUUCUGAAAACAAAUGAAGGUUCAGAAAAAAGGAUAGGUGCAGAGACUCAAUGGAAGCUAUUCUAACAAAUGGAGUUAAAUGUGUUGGUAGAGGAAUCUUUACAUCAAAAAUUCAAAAAUAAAAGGAAUGAAGUGAAGGAUAAAAGUAUAUACAUACGUAUUGAAUACUAUAUCAAAUGAUUAAUGACGACCCGAAUCCCUGAUCAAAUCAUUCACUCCAUAGUCUGAUAGAUCUUUUGAAGAACUGAUUAAUCAGACGAGAAUAAAGAUAGAGUCCCGUUCUACAUGUCAAUCCGAA
rnacentral:ncRNA from 1 species